rnacentral:rRNA from 1 species
GGGAAGCGAAGGAAGCCAGUGUCUGGCGGUUCUGCUUCUCCGACGGUCCCCGGACCGUCGGGCUGCGCUUCCGCUGUUGCCAGGGCCGGGUCGGGCCGCGAGAAUCGGCGUCCCUGGGAGGUACGCCUCUUCGGAGGUGGAAUGCCGGGGUGCUCUCCGUCGCGGCCUUGGGCCGGCCCUGACAAAAUGGCUUUCUUCACCCCGUCUUGAAACACGGACCAAGGAGUCUAACAUGCCCGCGAGUACAGGGGUGGUAAACCCCCGUGCGCAGUGAAAGUGAACGUAGGUGGGACGCUUCGGCUGCACCAUCGACCGACCGUGGCCCCCCGGGGUCGAGGUUUGAGUGUGAGCGCGCAUGUUGGGACCCGAAAGAUGGUGAACUAUGCCUGAAUAGGGCGAAGCCAGGGGAAACUCUGGUGGAGGCUCGUAGCGAUUCUGACGUGCAAAUCGAUCGUGAGAUUUGGGUAUAGGGGCGAAAGACUAAUCGAACCAUCUAGUAGCUGGUUCCCUCCGAAAUUUCCCUCAGGAUAGCUGCAACCUUUUUCUCAGUUUUAUCAGGU